AUUGAACGCUGGCGGCAGGCCUAACACAUGCACGACGAGCGGAGCGGCGGAAGGGUGCGUAAUGCAUAGGAAUCUGCCUGGAAGAGGGGGAUAACGUCCGGAAACGGGCGAUAAUACCGCAUACUAUCAGAUGCGCCUAGGUCGGAUUGGCACGGUGGGGGGGUACAGGCCGACCAAGGCGACGAUCCGUAACUGGUCGGAGAGGAUGAUCAGUCACACGGGAACUGCGACACGGUCCAGACUCCUGCGGGAGGCAGCGGUGGGGAAUAGGGGACAAUGGGCGAAACACUGACCCAACCAUGCCGCGUGUGUGAAGAAGGUCUUCGGAUUGUAAAGCGCUUUAAGUUGGGAGGCGUUACCAACAGAAUGAGCAACGGCUAACUUCGUCCCAGCAGCCGCGGUAAUAC
rnacentral:rRNA from 1 species